rnacentral:rRNA from 1 species
GACAGAGGUGCCGAGCGUUAGGCGGAAUCACUGGGCUUAAAGCGUGUGUAGGCGGGCCGUUAAGUGUCUUGUGAAAUCCCCCGGCUCAACCGGGGAAUUGCUGGGCAUACUGGCGGUCUUGAGCGAUCUAGGGGCAGAUGGAACAAGUGGUGGAGCGGUGAAAUGCGUAGAUAUCACUUGGAACGCCAAAGGUGAAGACAGUCUGCUGGGGAUCUGCUGACGCUGAGACACGAAAGCCAGGGGAGUGAACGGG